CACACAACCAUUGGAAUGAGGCUUUGGUGAAUCUUGACAGCCCAUUCUAAGUUUGGAUCAGCUUCCAACAUUUUAUCCUUUGCACUUUCAACCUUGUGAAGUAUCUCUGAGUAUCCAUUUAAGGUAAAGAUUUUUAAUGGCAUCAGUUUCUCUGGGAGAUCUUCAUCCUUUUCAUCACUACAAGUUUUUGCAUUUAUGUUGGUUUUUUAAUACAAGUAAUUCUGAGAGUGGGCCAAGAAAACAGGAGUAACAUGAAGUUUGGAACUGGAUCUGUCGCCACCUGGCAGGUGAAGAGAAUACCAUCAUGAGUGCCAUGGAAGAUACAGGAAAAUAUUUGCAAUACCUGCCACGUCCAAGGUUCAGCUGAGGCCAAUGUAAAGCCAGUAUUAUAGGACACUUCUCAGACUGAGAGCCCAAUGUCGUUGGAAACCACUGGGCCACAGGAAAGGCAGGCGUUCGUUCUCCUUCCUGCUGCCUGUGAAGUAGGUGCCUUGCUUCCCCUUCACCUUCCGCCAUGAUUGCAAGUUUCCUGAGGCCUCCCCAGCCAUGCGGAACUGGAUAGUCACCCGAUGUUUUAUUGUUCAAUGCUGGAGAUUUAAAGAAGAAAAUGGUAGUUCAUAUUCUUGCGGUGUUGCAAUACUACAAAAUGUGCACAACUGGACAGUGUGAAUGCGUGUGUGCACGUGCACACAUGUAUACACACCUAGAGCAGGAGAGAAGAAGGAGUGCUUAACUGGAGGAAGACAAAGACUUCAAAUCAUCCCAACACCAGAGAACACUAAAUGACAGUGGACAGGACGACAGUGUACCUUUUGCUCCUGAUGAUGGUAAGAACAACCUCCUUCCUCUUAUUGUGAAGUGCAAGGUGCAAAAAGGAGGCCUGCUGCUUGUUCAGGACUAUGUCAGCAUUGUGGCUCAGAAGAAGCGCAACGGCUUUGGCGUGGCCUUCCCUUGCAGCAAAGUGAAGUGCAGUGUUCUUUUGAAGAAAAACAGACACAGAAAAUGUGGUGACAGUGUCUAAUCUGUCUUAUUUCACUGCUUAACUGCUUAAAAGACAUUAGAGACACUAUUUAAUACCAAAAUACAUAGCACUUAAAACUGGUGUUCAGAAUCAAGCUUCAAAAUAAUGAGUUUAUAGUUCUAGCAUGGUGUGUGUGCAUGUGUGGGAAGUGGAUCUGUGUGUGUGUGUGUGUGUGUGUGUGUGUGUGUGUGUGUGUGUGUGUGUGUGAUAGAGAAAGAGAGAGAGAGAGAGAAUGAAUUCCAAGGCAUUUGUUUUUGUUGCUUUUGCAAUGGGAUGAUUCCACAAGGACAAAGGACAAGCUUUCAGGGUAAAGAUGUUGGGUUGAACACAGAAGAAAAUCCUCCUGAGACUGAUCAUUUGUAGAACACCGGCUUACAGAUUUGGGGCUUCACAAGCUUGUAAAUGUUUUUUAAAAUCAGAGACCGUUAUAAGUUUGCCAAUUUUUAGUUCCCCCACUUAAAGACUUUUUUUUUUUAAAGGCAACAACAGUCUUCUAUCCCCAUCAUUUUAUGAACAAACGUACAUUUCCAAAGUUACUCUCCCCAAAGGAAGGAAAGACAUAAUAGCACAAUAAAGGGCAGUAUUUCAAAUCAAUACACUUCAAAAUAACACUUAUCUUAAUGAAAACUCACUGCCGCCUUCAUUUCUCUGGACCUACCAGGGAGUAAACGCUUUACCAUCAAAUUUCAAUGGCCUGUGGACCUCGCUGCUCUGUAAGACUGGAGGUUUCCCCAACAUUCACCCACCCCUUGGUAUUCUCCCAAUUCUGUUGCCUUUUGAUUCAUACUUCACCUCAAGAAUCCACUUGCUAAACACCCAACAAAAGGCUGGGAAUAGAGCAAGGAAGGUAAAAGGUGUCUAGGAGAGUUUUCUGGCAAUGUUGGAAGUUUCUGCUAUAUCGAGAUUUUGGGUAAGCAUGAGGACCACAGUACAUACCCCGUCUUCAUCCAGGCGAUCUGUGCACUUCAAAUUAGUAUCAAGAAUGACCUUCAUGGUCUGAGUGUACCCGCCCAUGGACGCAUGAUGCAAAGCUGUCCAGCCAUUGUGGUCACUGGUAAAGAGUUAAGAAAAGAUGUGUACAUACACUUAACAGAUGAAAUGCGGGAUGGGAUGCCACUUGGCUUAUUCUAGGUAAAUCUGAUGACAACAAAAAGCAUAAUUGAGAUCUGGCAACUAAAUAUUUAUAAAACAUUUAUAAUAAAUGAGCUAAUUCCAAGCUCCAUGAUCUUAAAUGACCUAUUUCUAAUGUGAUUCACACAUGUUUUUUACUUAGUGGUUUAAAAUAUGAAAGUAUAUAAACACAUUACCAAACACUUUGGGGUAGGAGAAGUACGCUUAGCAUGUCUGUGUCAUACAUAAAUUUUUUAAAGCUAUAAUGAACUGAUACACAUUAAUUUAAAUCUUGUUUUAUUCUUUCAAUGAAUACUGUAUCAAAAUUUUUUUAUGAAGUAAUGUUAAUCUUUGUGGUCAAUAGUUAUUGGUAAUACUACUAAUAAUAUGGUACAUGGCUAUAAGAUACUUAGCUUAGUGUCAGUUAUUAUUCUAAGAGUUUAAAUCUGAAAAGCUUCCCUCUUGUGCUCUGAAAAAUGCUUACUCAAUUGCUUUGAAAAAUGUUUAUCCUUUUCCACAGAAAUUCAAGAUGUAAAUACAACGAAGCCUUGUCAUAUUAGUUAUCUUUUUUCAAAUUAGACAGAAAAAAAUUCGUGACACUAUUUAAUUUCAGUGCUAGUGAGCAGAUGUUUUAGGGUGCAAGAGCCAUGUUGCUAUUUCAGUUAUGAUGUAAUUAAGCAACAACUGUCUGGCCUGGGUCUACUUGGGUCCCCUUUGCAGGUCAGUUGCUUGGUGUUUCUUUGUAAACCAGAAAAAACUGAGCAAAACAUUCAUUCUUGUAGCUGUAGCACCAAUUUGCUGGCAUCAAUAUUAUGGUCAGGAAAUGUGUUUUUGAACAUUAGCCUAAUAAGCUCUUUGCUACUGCUAUGGUAAGAUAUCAAAUGAAAAACCUCUGUAAAACAUUUCCAGGUUUUUUCUUUCUUAUCACAAUAUCAUUUAAUUAUGCCACAUAUUUUAUUAUACUUACAUAUUUUAACUUUGUUUCUUGUACUUGAGUUCAUUUAAGUAUAAUAAAAUUCAGAAAUUUU